UAUGUGUGUGUGUAUGUGUGUGUGUGUGUGUGUAACUAACCAUUCCUUAAGUGAUAGUGUAUUAUUAACACAAGAACAGAACAGACUAAUAGACCACUUUUAUGGAAUGGUAAGCUGAGAAGCAGCAAUGCACACGUAUGCACGCACACACACACACACACACACACACACA
rnacentral:miRNA from 1 species